CCUACGGGUGGCUGCAGUGGGGAAUCUUGCGCAAUGGGCGAAAGCCUGACGCAGCCAUGCCGCGUGUAUGAUGAAGGUCUUAGGAUUGUAAAAUACUUUCACCGGUGAAGAUAAUGACUGUAGCCGGAGAAGAAGCCCCGGCUAACUUCGUGCCAGCAGCCGCGGUAAUACGAAGGGGGCUAGCGUUGCUCGGAAUUACUGGGCGUAAAGGGAGCGUAGGCGGACAUUUAAGUCAGAGGUGAAAUCCCGGAGCUUAACUUCGGAACUGCCUUUGAUACUGGGUGUCUUGAGUGUGAGAGAGGUAUGUGGAACUCCGAGUGUAGAGGUGAAAUUCGUAGAUAUUCGGAAGAACACCAGUGGCGAAGGCGACAUACUGGCUCAUUACUGACGCUGAGGCUCGAAAGCGUGGGGAGCAAACAGGAUUAGAUACCCGAGUAGUC
rnacentral:rRNA from 1 species